rnacentral:rRNA from 1 species
AACGAACGCUGGCGGCAUGCCUAACACAUGCAAGUCGAACGAAACCUUCGGGUCUAGUGGCGCACGGGGGCGUAAGGCGGGGGAAGCUACACUUGGGUUCGGAAUAGCUCCCCGAAAGGGAUGCUAAGACAGGAUAAUGUCUUAGGACCAAGGAGUUAUCGCUUUUGGGUGGGAGCGGGUUGGAUUAGCUGGUUGGUAGGGUAAAAGCCUACCAAGGCGACGAUCCAUAGCUGGUCUGGGAGGAUGCUCCGCCACACUGGGACUGAGACACGGCCCAGACGCGUACGGGAGGCAGCAGUGGGGAAUAUUGGACAAUGGGCGAAAGCCUGAUCCAGCAAUGCCGCGUGAGUGAUGAAGGCCUUAGGGUUGUAAAGCUCUUUUACCCGGGAUGAUAAUGACAGUACCGGGAGAAUAAGCUCCGGCUAACUCCGUG